rnacentral:piRNA from 1 species
GAACCGGAGAUCUUGUGACCUUCAUGUC